AGUCACAUGCGCACAAGUGCACAACAACAUCGGAAAUGAAUGUUUAGUGUAGUGCACUAGUGUGGAAGCCAAAAAAAUCCUUGCAAGCUCAUUCAACAUCCAACAAAAAAAUGUAACCCAGUGAACAACUUAACGUCCACACCAAAAUCAUGGCCCUUCCUCACGAGUUCCAGAAGCUACUCAUAUUUCACAACUUCACUCUCUUCAUUCUUCAAAGAAUCACAGUACAACUUCUUACUCUUAGGGUUUUCUGUUUAAUCAGAGCUCGUUUACUGGAAACAUCCAAUCAAUCAUGGCGACCCAAAUGAUCAAAGAUACGAAAGUUAGUGACUGAUGGUUUGCUCUAAUGAAGUUCUGACAAGGGAGAUUGGCAGAAGAUGAAUACUCUAGUGUUAAAGUGCGUGUCACUCCUAUGUUCUUGGUGUCAAAGAUCGUAGGAUUAGGGAAUUGACCUCUGUUGUGCAGAAAAAGGUUUAAGUUUCCAUAGAAUACUGUUAAGCUCUAUGCUCAAAAACUUAACAACAGUGGGCUUUGUGCCAUUCAUCAGUCUGAAUCAUUGCGUUACAAACUCCUUGGAAGAUUGGCUUUGAGGAGGCAUGCUAUAAUGUUGUGGAGUUUGUUAUGGAGAAUGAUCUAAGAAACUUGAGGUUAUUGUGAGUGGUAUGCUUCGGAGCUCAGCAUGCCAAGUCCAUGAAGUCCAAGUCUAGCUACACGAUCUCUUCCCGAUAGCCUGUCAAUGAGUAUACUGACUCAGCUGCGAGACACAUUUUCCUUAGACAGGGUGUCCCUGGUUUUAAAGUCAAAGUCAUUGCUCGAUUGGGUUAUCAUGGGGAAGCAGGAACCUCCCAUUCCGUACCCGAUUUCGUUACUAUUUAGCAUCACAAGGAUUAGGAGUUCUUCUUUCAAUCUGCAAUUUUGACGUCCAACAUCGAGAUCCCUGUUCCAGUUCAAUUCUUUUAUUGCAGUGGCUUAAUUAUAGAUUUAGACAGCUAUAUAUUAGAGUCAUCGUAUAUUUAGAUACAAGUUUGGCAAGUGAAUUUAGAAAAAUUGUUUCAUACAGAGAGAGCGAUUGCUAUGUUUAUUUAUUGAAAUGAUAUGCUUUAUCAACAACAUAUACUCCGUAAUGAUGAUAUUCAGGGAAGGAAAUUUUCUGGUUUGUGACA